rnacentral:rRNA from 1 species
GGCCACAGCCAUGUUACACUGCAGCCCAAGACCGGUUACUCACUGAAGCUAAGCAGGGCUGAGCCUGGUUAGUACCUGGAUGGGAGACCACUAGGGAACACUAAGGUUGCUGUUGGAA